ACGUUUAUUUCCUGUAUAACUCUUACUACACUAAUUUCUUACUUUCCUGUUGAUUUUUUAAGCUAUAGUUAAAAUACAUACAACUGGCUAUUGGGCUUGGAGUGAAUUCUCAGAAACAUCACUACUGACAUAACUCCAUAAAGAAUUCAUAAUUUCUACUCACAUGUUUUACCCACAUCAAUAACAGAAUCUCGGGAAAACCAAGGUGGAGUUUACAAUGUUCAUUUUGACACUGUGCAUUAGACUUCUUGACUUCAAGCUACAAAAACCAGCACAGAACCUGGAAAAAUUUUACCUCCUGGCAUUUUUGUUUCUCUACCCUGAUGCUUGUUGUUGAGUUUUACCCAUGCUUUGACCAUCAGCAAAUUCAAGA
rnacentral:lncRNA from 1 species